rnacentral:rRNA from 1 species
GACGAACGCUGGCGGCGUGCUUAACACAUGCAAGUCGAACGAAGUGGCGAACGGGUGAGUAACGCGUAAUCAACCUGCCCUUCAGAGGGGGACAACAGUUGGAAACGACUGCUAAUACCGCAUACUGAAGGAGGGGAUUGCGUCUGAUUAGCUAGUUUGAGGGGUAACGGCCCACCAAGUCGAUGAUCAGUAGCCGAUCGGAGAGGAUGACCUGCCACAUUUGGACUGAGACACGGCCCAGACUCCUCCGGGAGGCCGCAGUGGGGACUCUUCCGAAAUGGACGAAAGUCUGACGGAGCAACGCGGCGUGAGUUAUGACGGCCUUCGGGUUGUAAAGCUCUGUUAAUCAGGACGCGGUACCGGAAUAGAAAACCACGGCUAACUACGUGCCAGCAGCCGCGGUAAUUC